rnacentral:rRNA from 1 species
GAUAAACGCUGGCGGCGUGCCUUAUGCAUGCAAGUCGAACGAGACCAAGGCUUCGGCCUGAAGUCUAGUGGCGGACGGGUGAGUAACACGUACGUGACCUGUCCGGAAGUGGGGAAUAACCAGCCGAAAGGUUGGCUAAUACCGCAUACGGUUACUGCUUGGAAGCAGCAAACCAAAGUCGCAAGACGCUUCCGGAGGGGCGUGCGGCCGAUUAGCUUGUUGGUGUGGUAACGGCGCACCAAGGCGGUGAUCGGUAGCUGGUCUGAGAGGAUGGUCAGCCACACUGGGACUGAGACACGGCCCAGGCUCCUACGGGAGGCAGCAGCAGGGAAUUUUGCGCAAUGGGCGAAAGCCUGACGCAGCAACGCCGCGU